ensembl:snoRNA
GCAAUGAUGACUUUGUGCUUUUGACAGCAAUGAAAAAAUAUUCCUCAAUCCUCUAAGAAGUUCUGAGCUC